CGGGCCUUGUACACACCGCCCGUCACACCAUGGGAGUUGGUUUUGCUUGAAGACGGUGCGCUAACCGUAAGGAGGCAGCCGGCCACGGUAGGGUCAGCGACUGGGGUGAAGUCGUAACAAGGUAGCCGUAGGGGAACCUGUGGCUGGAUCACCUCCUUUCU
rnacentral:rRNA from 1 species